GCCCGCCUAGCUCAAUCGGAUAGAGCGUCAGACUUUUACGGGCGUCUGACUCGUUAGGCGAUCAAGGCAUCUGAAGGCUGCGAGUUCGACCCUCGCGGUGGGCU